CCGAGACGCUCGGCGACAUUCGGCCGUCGGCGCGGCUCUCCACUGGAGAUUGUUCGGGCGAUUGCCUAAUCGCGUCCCUUAAAAGCAUUUUAAAUAUUAUCACGCAAACAACUAACAAUAUUAUUGUUGUUGUUAACUAUUUGAUUGUAAUACGGAACAAUAUUACUCGGUGGCGUUUUUUCCUCACGUAUCUAUGAUGACAAUGUAAAAAACGAAAUAAUCUUAAGUUCUUGAUGAUAAUCUGUUUGGUAUUGUA